AAGUCGUAACAAGGUAACCGUAGGUGAACCUGCGGUUGGAUCAUUACGAAAUCAAAAACUUUUCGGUGGCUGUCCAUCGGCACUCUGUGUUGGUGGGCUCCUCGAAAUGCACACCCUUGUGAACGUUUAACGUAUUUUGGCGAUCCCCCUGACCUCUCCCCUUUCGGGGGGAGGUCUCGGUUGGACUGGGUGAGGAGAAGCACUUGUGCCCUCUUUACCUUUUUCCUAAUGGGUCGCCAGCAUUUUGCAAAGACUCCGUUUUUUACUCUUCUACUGAAACCAAAAAUGAGAAACAAUGAGAAACAACUUUAGACAACGGAUCUCUUGGCUCUC
rnacentral:misc_RNA from 1 species